rnacentral:rRNA from 1 species
GAUGAACGCUGGCGGCGUGCCUAAUACAUGCAAGUCGAGCGAACAGACGAGGAGCUUGCUCCUCUGACGUUAGCGGCGGACGGGUGAGUAACACGUGGAUAACCUACCUAUAAGACUGGGAUAACUUCGGGAAACCGGAGCUAAUACCGGAUAAUAUAUUGAACCGCAUGGUUCAAUAGUGAAAGACGGUUUUGCUGUCACUUAUAGAUGGAUCCGCGCCGCAUUAGCUAGUUGGUAAGGUAACGGCUUACCAAGGCGACGAUGCGUAGCCGACCUGAGAGGGUGAUCGGCCACACUGGAACUGAGACACGGUCCAGACUCCUACGGGAGGCAGCAGUAGGGAAUCUUCCGCAAAGGGCGAAAGCCUGACGGAGCAACGCCGCGUGAGUGAUGAAGGUCUUCGGAUCGUAAAACUCUGUUAUUAGGGAAGAACAAAUGUGUAAGUAACUAUGCACGUCUUGACGGUACCUAAUCAGAAAGCCACGGCUAACUUCGUG